rnacentral:rRNA from 1 species
CCUGACCGAGCGACGCCGCGUGAGGGAUGAAGGCCUUCGGGUUGUAAACCUCUGUCCAUUGGGAAGAAUGGCCGGAUGGUGUAAAUCCUAGAGCAGGGACGGUACCCAAGGAGGAAGCCCCGGCUAACUCCGUGCCAGCAGCCGCGGUAAUACGGAGGGGGCAAGCGUUGUUCGGAUUUACUGGGCGUAAAGGGUGUGUAGGCGGCCGGAUAAGUUUGGUGUGAAAUCUCACCGCUCAACGGGGGAAGGGCACUGGAAACUGUCUGGCUCGAGUAUGGUAGAGGCAAGCGGAAUUCCUGGUGUAGCGGUGGAAUGUGUAGAUAUCAGGAAGAACACCGGUGGCGAAGGCGGCUUGCUGGGCCAUCACUGACGCUGAGACACGAAAGCGUGGGGAGCAAACGGGAUUAGAUACCCCGGUAGUCCACGCUGUAAACGGUGCGCACUAGGUGUAGGGGGUAUCGACCCCCCUUGUGCCGAAGCAAACGCAUUAAGUGCGCCGCCUGG